AUUUAAAUAGCUUAAUUAUUAGAGCAUUAUAUUGAAGAUAUAAGGGUAAAAUAUUUUUUUUUUUAAAUA
rnacentral:tRNA from 1 species